CCUACGGGCGGCAGCAGUAGGGAAUCUUCCACAAUGGGCGAAAGCCUGAUGGAGCAACGCCGCGUGGGUGAAGAAGGUCUUCGGAUCGUAAAACCCUGUUGUUAGAGAAGAAAGUGCGUGAGAGUAACUGUUCACGUUUCGACGGUAUCUAACCAGAAAGCCACGGCUAACUACGUGCCAGCAGCCGCGGUAAUACGUAGGUGGCAAGCGUCAUCCGGAUUUAUUGGGCGUAAAGGGAACGCAGGCGGUCUUUUAAGUCUGAUGUGAAAGCCUUCGGCUUAACCGGAGUAGUGCAUUGGAAACUGGGAGACUGGAGUGCAGAAGAGGAGAGUGGAACUCCAUGUGUAGCGGUGAAAUGCGUAGAUAUAUGGAAGAACACCAGUGGCGAAAGCGGCUCUCUGGUCUGUAACUGACGCUGAGGUUCGAAAGCGUGGGUAGCAAACAGGAUUAGAUACCCCAGUAGUC
rnacentral:rRNA from 1 species